rnacentral:tRNA from 1 species
GCUCAGUUGGUUAAAUGUUAGACUCUUGAUUUUGGCUCAGGUCAUGAUACAAUGGUUUGUGGGUUCGAGUCCUGCGUUGAGCU